rnacentral:sRNA from 1 species
GAAAGAAACCUACCAGAUGGUCCGCCCAAGGCGCUGGGCCGUCAUUUCAGCGAUAACCUUUGCGCUGUGCUGGCUGUUGCCGGUCUGCAGCGCGAAAACUGCGUUGCAGGCCGGGUAUCAAGGAUUGGCAUUCUGCCGAGUGGGCUGAUUGACUCGCGAUAGAUACGGCGCAAUUUGCGGAAUACCCGGAGCAGUCUGCAGUAAGAGCACCGGAUACUGAGGCGCCUCAUUCAUCUGCACUCGGUGCAGAU